CAUUCCCAAGUCCAAACAUCAUAAGCUUCAAUAGCUCAUUUGCAACCUAUGCAUUCAUACAAAAUAAGUAUAAGCAGAACAUGAUAAUUUAGACACGAUCAUCAUUCUCCCACUUGCUCAAAUGGAACUAUCAUACAAAAUGAACAGGUGAUAGACCCACCAUUUUAGUUUGACCACUAUUAGCUCCAUCAAUAGAAAAAUCAUACCCCUAAUGAAGACUAUAAACCCAAUUCAUGGCUGUUGUCCCUUUCAGUACGAACACUUCAUUCCAUGCAAUGCUCAGAAAGGCUCGAUCAGUACUGAAGCAUUUUGUGGCACAAGUCUUUAGAAAAUAAUUCAAAAGAAUAUAAGAACACGAAAAUAUGCUCAUAAGAAACCAUUAACCAUCUUAAAAAUCCAUAGUAAAAUAAAUUGACAAGAUCAACAGUUUUGACUUCUAAAACAAACACAAUAUAUAUCAAUCUACUUUGUAACCACGUUACCAAAUUGUAAUGUAAACCUAAUAUCCAAUAUUCCAC
rnacentral:lncRNA from 1 species